GAAUAGUAGUAUAAUAUGUGUAAAUAAAAGUGUGAUUCGAGAAAUGAAUCAUGAUAUGCUCUGUAUCCUGAUAGGAAGAAUCACAGCUCUUCAUGUGUCCAAGAGAUCAAGUAUAUUCUUCUUUCUUACCUUCAAGACAAUAAGAAGAAACCUUCCAAAGGCAAUGCAUCUGAUUGCUGCAAGCUGCUGCUGUGACUUCCCAUCACCAUGGAUUGUAACCUGGAACUGUGAACUGGCAGGGUAGACAUCUAUAUCCCCUGACUCUGCCAACUCCCUCCACCAGAAGGAAACACUCCAGAAGAAGGGACAGAGAGUAGGAACUGUGGAGAAAGGAGAGAGAAAAAUCUAAGAGUUGGAGAAAGGUCCAAACCUGAGAAUCUUGGAGGUUAUACUUGUACCAUAACUCAUAUGACUAUGAAUCUGCUGAAUGAACACGAAUCUAAUACUCACACAUCUCCCUGAAUAGAGAACACAAUUUUUGACCUGACAAAGAUGCUUGUCUUUACAGUAAGUAGAGACCAUCACAGAACACUACAACUGGACACAAUGCUGAGAUGAAAAAAAUGUGGCAAGCUCAAGCUCAAGGGAUUCAUUUACAUCAUAGUUCCUACAUAUAUAGUUCAAGAAGCAACUCAGAAGAGGUAGAGGAAGAAUUGUAAGAGCCAGAAUACCAGGAAGUAUGCUGUGAAGCAGUCUGAUGGCUCCAGAAAUAACAGAGCAAUAGCAAUAUUGACUGACUUGUUAAGGAGAUGUACAUAUAGAUGUACAUAUAGAUAUAGACAUACACAUACACAUACACAUACACAUACAUAUACAUAUAUGAAGUAUUCUUACAUGCCAUUGCACAGAGGCAGAAAAUUCUGACCCAGAGACACUAUAAAUCCCAAGAAAUUUAGGAUCUAAUGAAUGGAAUUUCCAAGGCCUCAUGUCCCGUAUACUCAGCAAUAAUGCUUGGCCAGAUUAUCAAUUUUAAGCUGUUUUAAAUUUCCUAUUAUUGUAUAUCAUUUCCUUAACAGCAGAAGGUUGAAGAAAGUACCUCUUGAUCCACACAAGUUCACUGCCAGGAAUACAUGUCAAGAAAUCAUUCCAAGAACUGUUCUCAGUUACCACAGGAGCUUAACUGGAUAGUUUGGGACCUCAGUCCAUCCAAAUAGGGAAGGAAUUGCAGGAGAGGCAGAAGGCCCAGCUGUAAAACGUGAAGACCGGACGACAAAGACACACUUUCUCCAGACCAUGCUGUGCAAGAAUGCUGUAGACUUAAUUCAAAGUAAAGAAUCUGAUUAUGCAAAUGAAAUAGCCCUAGGUCAUUUUGGUAAUAUUUAAAAGAAUACAAGAAGAUCUGUUACUUAAGGAUGUGUCAGUGGGAGAAGAAAAAGAAAAGAGCAUCACACUGUUACAGCAGAGACUUACCCUUGGGUUUGGACCUGUUUCUGAAAAUAUCUCUGCUACAAGGGUGUAAGUGACUGAAAUUCCUUAAAUUAAGGCUAUAGAUGUUCCCCUAUCUAUAUACUUGCAAUAGUAAAGAUGUAGUUUCUAAACGUAAAAUAUUCAGUAGCACAAUACAUAUUCUUUCAGAUAUCAAAUUGGUAACACAAAUAAAAGUGAGGUAAGAACCAGCUGAUGAAAAGGUGGUAAAAACUGUUUUUCACAUGACAUACGAAUGAGAGGUGACAUAGCUCAAUGAUAGACUUGCAGGCUUAGAUGUAAGUGGCCCUUUAUUCAACACCAGCACAAAUGCCUAGAUUCCCCAAAUGAGAAGUUUACACAAGGGUCAAUGACAGUGAAAUAUAGUCAGUCUUCCCGAUGGUUUGGAUAAAGUACAUAACAACAUGUUAGGUCAGCAGAUGUUACUAGAGAGCCUCCGUUGUGAUUACCUUCUUCUCUAUUUUGUUUUGUUUUAAUGUUAUGACAUUAUUGAAUGACUGUAAGAGUGAAUGACACUGCACCUCCUCCUAUCUGGAAAGAUCUAUUCCUCCUGGACUUGCUGAUUGCCUCAAUUCAGACUUUGGAUCCAUCCUGGUAAUAAAGAAAAUGUACAGGCACAGAAACCAAGAAGGCACUAAAAUAGAUGCAGCAGAGUCAGCAUCUAAGAGACAAAGUUUCCAUGGAAAUCAAGGUUCAUGCAUUCCAGCCAAGAAUCAACUUUGAACUUCUGAUAUAGCUACCUCCAUUUCUUGAGUGCUGGGAUUAUAGGUGUACACAAAAAUGUACAGUUUAUGCCAUGCCAAGGAAUGAACCUCGUAUGUGCUAAAGCAAGGACUCUACUAAGGAACUGUUACAGACUUGCCACAGUCCAAAGCUACAUCUGUCUCUGAACAGGAAAGAAAAAAAAAUAAAGCAUAUGGUGAGCUUUAUACUUUUUGCAACAGCUAAGUGUUUAAAUGGAAGAAGACAGAGAAAUAAGGACAAGGUAGAAACCUAGCAUAGCUUUCCCCAGAGAGGCUUCAUCCAGCAGCUGGUGGAAACAGAUGCAGAGACCCACAGCCAAACAUCAGGCAGUGCUCUGGGAAUAUUGUGGAAGAGUGGGGAAUAGAAUUGAACAAGCUGGAGGUGUCUAGGACACCACAAGGCCUACAGAGUCAAUUAACUUUGGACCAUGGGAGCUCACAGAGACUGAACCUCCAACCAAAGAGCAUGCAGGGGUUGGACCUAGCCCCCCUACAUAUUUGUAGCAGAUGUACAGCUUGUUUGUAUGGGACCUACUCCAGCCAAUCAGUCUUCUUAGCUUCUGUUAGAACUGCCUACUUCAAACUUAUUCAAACCUACUUCAAGCUCCUUACUCUUUGAAGACACUCACUGCUCAUGCUACUACAAAGCUACCAGGGUCAUGUCUGGACAAGGGCUCCACUUUUAAAACACCAUAUUCUGGACACUUGGGACCAUAGCCAGGUCUCUGAAGACUUGGAUGAAACCCCAGACAGUUGGAAUACAAUCCUAAUUGGCAAUACACCAUGUCUGAGUGGUCAUCUCUGCUGAGCUUCCCAGAACAGUGAAGAAAUGCCUACGUGCAUCGAU
rnacentral:lncRNA from 1 species